GAUGAACGCUGGCGGCGUGCCUAAUACAUGCAAGUCGAGCGAACAGACGAGGAGCUUGCUCCUCUGACGUUAGCGGCGGACGGGUGAGUAACACGUGGAUAACCUACCUAUAAGACUGGGAUAACUUCGGGAAACCGGAGCUAAUACCGGAUAAUAUAUUGAACCGCAUGGUUCAAUAGUGAAAGACGGUUUUGCUGUCACUUAUAGAUGGAUCCGCGCCGCAUUAGCUAGUUGGUAAGGUAACGGCUUACCAAGGCAACGAUGCGUAGCCGACCUGAGAGGGGGAUCGGCCCAACUGGAACUGAGACACGGUCCAGACUCCUACGGGAGGCAGCAGUAGGGAAUCUUCCGCAAUGGGCGAAAGCCUGACGGAGCAACGCCGCGUGAGUGAUGAAGGUCUUCGGAUCGUAAAACUCUGUUAUUAGGGAAGAACAAAUGUGUAAGUAACUAUGCACGUCUGGACGGUACCUAAUCAGAAAGCCACGGCUAACUACGU
rnacentral:rRNA from 1 species